CACGGGGGGAGCAAGCGUUGUUCGGAAUCACUGGGCGUAAAGGGCGCGUAGGCGGCCUUCUAAGUCGAACGUGAAAUCCCCGGGCUCAACCCGGGAACUGCGUCCGAUACUGGAAGGCUUGAAUCCGGGAGAGGGAUGCGGAAUUCCAGGUGUAGCGGUGAAAUGCGUAGAUAUCUGGAGGAACACCGGUGGCGAAGGCGGCAUCCUGGACCGGUAUUGACGCUGAGGCGCGAAAGCCAGGGGAGCAAACGGG
rnacentral:rRNA from 1 species